rnacentral:rRNA from 1 species
GGUUAAGUUAACAAGGGCGCAUGGUGAAUGCCUUGGCACUAGGAGCCGAUGAAGGACGGGACUAACACCGAUAUGCUUCGGGGAGCUGUACGUAAGCUAUGAUCCGGAGAUUUCCGAAUGGGGCAACCCAGCAGUUUUAAUCAACUGUUACCACUAGAUGAAUUCAUAGUCUAGUUGGAGGUAAACGCUGUGAACUGAAACAUCUCAUUAGCAGCAGGAAUAUAAAGAAAUUUCGAUUCCCUAAGUAGCGGCGAGCGAACGGGGAACAGCCCAAACCAAAGUGCUUGCACUUUGGGGUUGUAGGACUGAACAUUUGAGUUACCAAAGAACUUGAUAGUCGAAGGAUUUGGGAAAAUCCGCCAUAGAUGGUGAUAGCCCAGUAGAUUAAAUCAAAUUCUCUCAGUUCAGGAUCCUGAGUACGGCGGAACACGUGAAAUUCCGUCGGAAUCCGGGAGGACCAUCUCCCAAGGCUAAAUACUACCUAGUGACCGAUAGUGAACCAGUACCGUGAGGGAAAGGUGAAAAGCACCCCGGGAGGGGAGUGAAAUAGUUCCUGAAACCAUGUGCCUACAAUAAGUCAGAGCGCGUUAAUGCGUGAUGGCGUGCCUUUUGUAGAAUGAACCGGCGAGUUAUGAUCCCGUGCAAGGUUAAGACUAAAAAGUCGGAGCCGUAGCGAAAGCGAGUCUGAAAUGGGCGAUUUUAGUACGAGGUUAUAGACCCGAAACCAGGUGACCUAUCCAUGUCCAGGUUGAAGGUGCGGUAAAACGCACUGGAGGACCGAACCCGUGUAAGUUGAAAAUUGCUGGGAUGAGGUGUGGAUAGCGGUGAAAUUCCAAACGAACUUGGAGAUAGCUGGUUCUCUCCGAAAUAGCUUUAGGGCUAGCCUCGGAAUUAGGAUCAUGGAGGUAGAGCACUAUUUGGACUAGGGGCCCGUCUUGGGUUACUGAAUUCAGAUAAACUCCGAAUGCCAUUGAUUCAUAUCCGGGAGUCAGACGAUGAGUGAUAAGAUCCACCGUCGAAAGGGGAACAGCCCAGACCAUCAGUUAAGGUCCCUAAAUGUAUGCUAAGUGGAAAAGGAUGUGGAGUUGCAUAGACAACUAGGAUGUUGGCUCAGAAGCAGCCACCAUUUAAAGAGUGCGUAAUAGCUCACUAGUCGAGUGAUCCUGCGCCGAAAAUGUACCGGGGCUAAGCAUACUACCGAAACCAUGGAUGCGACCAUUAGGUCGCGUGAUAGGAGAGCGUUCUAAGGGCGGUGAAGCAAGAUCGUGAGGACUUGUGGAGCGCUUAGAAGUGAGAAUGCCGGUAUGAGUAGCGAAAGAUAGGUGAGAAUCCUAUCCACCGAAUGACUAAGGUUUCCUGGGGAAGGCUCGUCCUCCCAGGGUUAGUCGGGACCUAAGUCGAGGCCGAGAGGCGUAGACGAUGGAUAACAGGUUGAGAUUCCUGUACUAGUUAAGUGCGUUUGAGCAAUGGAGGGACGCAGGAGGCUAAGAUGUGCAUUCUGUUGGAUUAGAAUGUCCAAGCAGUAAGUCUUGUGAAGAGUCAAAUGCUUUUCACUUUAAGGACAAGCUGUGAUGGGGAGCGAAAUUUAGUAGCGAAGCGUCUGAUGUCACACUGCCGAGAAAAGCUUCUAGUGAGUACUUAACUACCCGUACCGCAAACCGACACAGGUAGUCGAGGAGAGAAUCCUAAGGUGAGCGAGUGAACUCUCGUUAAGGAACUCGGCAAAAUGACCCCGUAACUUCGGGAGAAGGGGUGCUGAUCGCAAGAUCAGCCGCAGUGAAUAGGCCCAGGCGACUGUUUAUCAAAAACACAGGUCUCUGCAAAAUCGUAAGAUGACGUAUAGGGGCUGACGCCUGCCCGGUGCUGGAAGGUUAAAAGGAUGGGUUAGCUUCGGCGAAGCUCAGAAUGUCCGUGAAGAUGCGGACUACCCGCGACAGGACGGAAAGACCCCAUGGAGCUUUACUGUAGCUUGAUAUUGAGUGUUUGUACAGCUUGUACAGGAUAGGUAGGAGCCAUAGAAACCGGAACGCUAGUUUCGGUGGAGGCGUUGGUGGGAUACUACCCUCGCUGUAUGACCACUCUAACCCGCACCACUAAUCGUGGUGGGAGACAGUGUCAGGUGGGCAGUUUGACUGGGGCGGUCGCCUCCUAAAAAGUAACGGAGGCGCCCAAAGGUUCCCUCAGAAUGGUUGGAAAUCAUUCGCAGAGUGUAAAGGCACAAGGNNNNNNNNNNNNNNNNNNNNNNNNNNNNNNNNNNNNNNNNNNNNNNNNNNNNNNNNNNNNNNNNNNNNNNNNNNNNNNNNNNNNNNNNNNNNNNNNNNNNGAGCUUGACUGCGAGACAGACAGGUCGAGCAGGGACGAAAGUCGGGCUUAGUGAUCCGGUGGUACCGUAUGGAAGGGCCAUCGCUCAACGGAUAAAAGCUACCCUGGGGAUAACAGGCUUAUCUCCCCCAAGAGUCCACAUCGACGGGGAGGUUUGGCACCUCGAUGUCGGCUCAUCGCAUCCUGGGGCUGUAGUCGGUCCCAAGGGUUGGGCUGUUCGCCCAUUAAAGCGGUACGCGAGCUGGGUUCAGAACGUCGUGAGACAGUUCGGUCCCUAUCCGUCGCGGGCGUAGGAAAUUUGAGAGGACCUGUCCUUAGUACGAGAGGACCGGGAUGGACAUACCUCUGGUGUACCAGUUGUGCCGCCAGGCGCAUCGCUGGGUAGCUACGUAUGGAUGUGAUAAACGCUGAAAGCAUCUAAGUGUGAAACACACCUCGAGAUGAGAUUUCCCAUUCCUUUAUGGAAGUAAGACCCCUGAAAGAUGAUCAGGUAGAUAGGUUAGAAGUGGCAGUGCGGUGACGCAUGAAGCGGACUAAUACUAAUCGGUCGAGGACUUAACCAA